AAUCCAUAGGUUAAUGAGGCGAACCGGGGGAACUGAAACAUCUAAGUACCCCGAGGAAAAGAAAUCAACCGAGAUUCCCCCAGUAGCGGCGAGCGAACGGGGAGGAGCCCAGAGCCUGAAUCAGCAUGUGUGUUAGUGGAAGCGUCUGGAAAGGCGCGCGAUACAGGGUGACAGCCCCGUACACAAAAGCGCAUGUGCUGUGAGCUCGAUGAGUAGGGCGGGACACGUGGUAUCCUGUCUGAAUAUGGGGGGACCAUCCUCCAAGGCUAAAUACUCCUGACUGACCGAUAGUGAACCAGUACCGUGAGGGAAAGGCGAAAAGAACCCCGGCGAGGGGAGUGAAAAAGAACCUGAAACCGUGUACGUACAAGCAGUGGGAGCACAGGUUUACCUGUGUGACUGCGUACCUUUUGUAUAAUGGGUCAGCGACUUAUAUUCUGUAGCAAGGUUAACCGAAUAGGGGAGCCGGAGGGAAACCGAGUCUUAAUUGGGCGUUAAGUUGCAGGGUAUAGACCCGAAACCCGGUGAUCUAGCCAUGGGCAGGUUGAAGGUUGGGUAACACUAACUGGAGGACCGAACCGACUAAUGUUGAAAAAUUAGCGGAUGACCUGUGGCUGGGGGUGAAAGGCCAAUCAAACCGGGAGAUAGCUGGUUCUCCCCGAAAGCUAUUUAGGUAGCGCCUCGUGAAUUCAUCUCCGGGGGUAGAGCACUGUUUCGGCUAGGGGGCCAUCCCGGCUUACCAACCCGAUGCAAACUGCGAAUACCGGAGAAUGUUAUCACGGGAGACACACGGCGGGUGCUAACGUCCGUCGUGAAGAGGGAAACAACCCAGACCGCCAGCUAAGGUCCCAAAGUCAUGGUUAAGUGGGAAACGAUGUGGGAAGGCCCAGACAGCCAGGAUGUUGGCUUAGAAGCAGCCAUCAUUUAAAGAAAGCGUAAUAGCUCACUGGUCGAGUCGGCCUGCGCGGAAGAUGUAACGGGGCUAAACCAUGCACCGAAGCUGCGGCAGCGACACUGUGUGUUGUUGGGUAGGGGAGCGUUCUGUAAGCCUGCGAAGGUGGCCUGUGAGGGUUGCUGGAGGUAUCAGAAGUGCGAAUGCUGACAUAAGUAACGAUAAAGCGGGUGAAAAGCCCGCUCGCCGGAAGACCAAGGGUUCCUGUCCAACGUUAAUCGGGGCAGGGUGAGUCGACCCCUAAGGCGAGGCCGAAAGGCGUAGUCGAUGGGAAACGGGUUAAUAUUCCCGUACUUGGUGUUACUGCGAAGGGGGGACGGAGAAGGCUAUGUUGGCCGGGCGACGGUUGUCCCGGUUUAAGCGUGUAGGUGUGUGUUCCAGGUAAAUCCGGUUCACUUUAACACUGAGGCGUGACGACGAGGCACUACGGUGCUGAAGCAACAAAUGCCCUGCUUCCAGGAAAAGCCUCUAAGCAUCAGGUAACAUCAAAUCGUACCCCAAACCGACACAGGUGGUCAGGUAGAGAAUACCAAGGCGCUUGAGAGAACUCGGGUGAAGGAACUAGGCAAAAUGGUGCCGUAACUUCGGGAGAAGGCACGCUGACACGUAGGUGAAGUGAUUUACUCAUGGAGCUGAAGUCAGUCGAAGAUACCAGCUGGCUGCAACUGUUUAUUAAAAACACAGCACUGUGCAAACACGAAAGUGGACGUAUACGGUGUGACGCCUGCCCGGUGCCGGAAGGUUAAUUGAUGGGGUCAGCGCAAGCGAAGCUCCUGAUCGAAGCCCCGGUAAACGGCGGCCGUAACUAUAACGGUCCUAAGGUAGCGAAAUUCCUUGUCGGGUAAGUUCCGACCUGCACGAAUGGCGUAAUGAUGGCCAGGCUGUCUCCACCCGAGACUCAGUGAAAUUGAACUCGCUGUGAAGAUGCAGUGUACCCGCGGCAAGACGGAAAGACCCCGUGAACCUUUACUAUAGCUUGACACUGAACAUUGAGCCUUGAUGUGUAGGAUAGGUGGGAGGCUUUGAAGUGUGGACGCCAGUCUGCAUGGAGCCGACCUUGAAAUACCACCCUUUAAUGUUUGAUGUUCUAACGUGGACCCGUUACCCGGGUUGCGGACAGUGUCUGGUGGGUAGUUUGACUGGGGCGGUCUCCUCCUAAAGAGUAACGGAGGAGCACGAAGGUUGGCUAAUCCUGGUCGGACAUCAGGAGGUUAGUGCAAUGGCAUAAGCCAGCUUGACUGCGAGCGUGACGGCGCGAGCAGGUGCGAAAGCAGGUCAUAGUGAUCCGGUGGUUCUGAAUGGAAGGGCCAUCGCUCAACGGAUAAAAGGUACUCCGGGGAUAACAGGCUGAUACCGCCCAAGAGUUCAUAUCGACGGCGGUGUUUGGCACCUCGAUGUCGGCUCAUCACAUCCUGGGGCUGAAGUAGGUCCCAAGGGUAUGGCUGUUCGCCAUUUAAAGUGGUACGCGAGCUGGGUUUAGAACGUCGUGAGACAGUUCGGUCCCUAUCUGCCGUGGGCGCUGGAGAACUGAGGGGGGCUGCUCCUAGUACGAGAGGACCGGAGUGGACGCAUCACUGGUGUUCGGGUUGUCAUGCCAAUGGCACUGCCCGGUAGCUAAAUGCGGAAGAGAUAAGUGCUGAAAGCAUCUAAGCACGAAACUUGCCCCGAGAUGAGUUCUCCCUGAGACUUAAAGUCUCCUGAAGG
rnacentral:rRNA from 1 species